AGAGAUUAAGUCUGCAGACAACAUUUUAUCGCAGUAUCCUCGGGACGAAUUGGUGGCAUACGUACGCAAUACCGUAGGUGUUACUCCGAUAAGAAAAAUUGUUCCUUUCUUAUUUGCUGAAUCUACUAUGCCUUUCAUUAAUUGGGAUGGUCGUCACCAAAGAUUUGCAAUCAAAUCUCUUCAAUUUUUCAACGAAAUAGUUUUUCGUGCAGUUCAAGGUCCCGAUAUGGAUUUCUCCAAAUUUGACAGUGAAAUGCGGAAGGGGAUCCGAUCCGCGAAAAACAAAAUGUAUAAAAACAAAUCCAACCAGUCUUAAUUAUUUUCGAAGCAUAUCUUAAUCUACCAUAAUUUAUUUUGUAUGUAAGACUCAACCUUCAUCACAUUUUUUUACCAUUUUUAAGUUAACCAUUUAUGAACGUUAAUGUAACGUAAUGAAAACUUCCUUAUUUUAAAAUGAA